UCGAUGCCAUGGACAGAGAAACUUCUGUGAGCUUGACUGACCCACCUCUGGCUAACAAAUUUAACAGCACAGUGUCUCCAGCGAAGACCAAACAGGCAUACCUCCCAGCAAAUGAGGAUGCAUCCCACAAUCACUCUAAAAAGCACCAUGGAAAUCGAGGGAAAAAUGCUGGGGCCAGGCUUGCAGGCACCAACUGGAAAACAGCCAUGCUGGUCCUCAGCCCCUUGGCAUUCAUACUGGGAUUAAUAAUACUGACACUCAACGUUCAUUACAACAAGUAAGUGAGAUUCAAGUUCAUUCAGUUUGCCACUUCCCUGUCCAGCAUUUCAAAUCAAGUCUUGAUCUUGUCACCCUUCCCCAUCCCACACCUGAAGUGUCUGGCUCUGAGCAGAUGGGUCUGCUCACCCGUGAUGUCACCCUU
rnacentral:lncRNA from 1 species